UUUUUGCUAAAAUUUCAGCAACUACUUAAAUAUUAUAUGUUAUACAAUCUAAUUUAAGCUGUGCUUUUGAAUCUUGUGUGCAAAAGGUGGUGGGGAGCCUAAUAGCACCAGAGUUCACCCCCAGAGCAGGGGAUAGGGUUGGAAAGUCCAACUUCAACUGGCAAUGUCCAGGUGCUGAAGAAGCAGGAGGAGGGGAACUGCUAGGGAUUCAUGUGGGCUACAGAGGCACUGUAAGUGAACUCAUGAUUGCAUGUGAAGGGCCUAUUUUCUCUUCUCAACCUGCAAAUGGCUAAGCAGUAAAGAUGGGAACGAGUGCUCCAGCUCCAUUUAUUCUAGAUGGGACCAUGGUGCAGUAUUGUCUUUAAUCCAUCAUUUGAGAUUUGUUCUCUCCUGCACUCCACUCUGAGUCCAUCUCAUAUUUUCAUGAUCCCAAGUGUCCCAUUGCUAAAUGGCCUGCAUGCAAGGCCCAGUCCAGAGACUAGCCCCAUCAACUUUAAUUUUUUGCAUCUUAUCCCUGAAAUUAAGAGAUUAUCAGAAAAUUAGGCUGCAGUUUGGACAAAAUAAACCCUUUACAUGGAGCAUAUUAGAGGCUGGGUAGAUGGGGACACCGUCCCUGUGAUGAGGAUGACCUUGCCACACCCACAUGGGGCAUUCACCUCAUCAAUUAAGCCAAACUAAAUCCAAUGUGGCAUUUGC
rnacentral:lncRNA from 1 species